GGUGGAGCUGGAAAGGUGGAGGCGGAAGUGACUGAUCAAUUCAGGGGCGUGGGGUUCGUUUAGGUUUUGCCCUGUGUAUGACCUCGUUUGGAGCCAUGAAACCAGGUGGCUUUUCUACAAUAUAAAGAUGGAAAUGGGAUGAUGUUCAUUGCAAAUUAGGGAAGCUCUUCCACGAGUUCACGAAUGGAAAUAACAUCAAGAGUUUUUCAUCUUCUUAGUGUGCAAGAACACAGCAUAGUAUGUGACAUAAAGGCUUGAUGACUGUGUUGAAUGAAUGUAUGUUGUUAUUUUAGGGCAAUGAUGGAAAGCACCAAGUGGAGUCUGGAGCUAGACUGAUCUGUGUUCAAUCCCGUCUUGGUUACUCAUUGAGGAGCCUCGACUUUCAUGUCUCUGUAAUGUCGCUGACAGUAUCUGCCUCACAGGGUUGCUGUAAGAAUCAAGCGAGAUGUCUGAGGAAUAGUCUUAGUGGAUUAUCCCAAACUUGACACAUUUUUUGCAAAAUGCUAUACAAAAAGAAGAUACAUGCGAUUAUGACAAGAUUCUCCACUUGGUGUGACCAGUCUCAUACAACCCAAGGCUGUGUGUCCAAAGGCAACUGCACUGAAUACUGGAAAGCAUUUAUUUGUUUGCUAAAUUGCUCUCUUUCCACCAGCGAUAUCAACUCUGAAAUACUUUUUAGAUCUUGACAAUAAUCAAAAGGUAGCCAGGUGCAUCGGGGAAAGCACUGACAUUGGAGUCAGAC
rnacentral:lncRNA from 1 species